UACGUAGGGUGCAAGCGUUGUCCGGAAUUAUUGGGCGUAAAGGGCUCGUAGGCGGUCUGUCACGUCGGGAGUGGAAACUCAGGGCUUAACCCUGAGCCUGCUUCCGAUACGGGCAGACUAGAGGUAUGCAGGGGAGAACGGAAUUCCUGGUGUAGCGGUGAAAUGCGCAGAUAUCAGGAGGAACACCGGUGGCGAAGGCGGUUCUCUGGGCAUUACCUGACGCUGAGGAGCGAAAGUGUGGGGAGCGAACAGG
rnacentral:rRNA from 1 species